GACGAACGCUGGCGGCGUGCUUAACACAUGCAAGUCGAACGGAAAGGCCCUGCUUUUGUGGGGUGCUCGAGUGGCGAACGGGUGAGUAACACGUGAGUAACCUGCCCUUGACUUUGGGAUAACUUCAGGAAACUGGGGCUAAUACCGGAUAGGAGCUCCUGCUGCAUGGUGGGGGUUGGAAAGUUUCGGCGGUUGGGGAUGGACUCGCGGCUUAUCAGCUUGUUGGUGGGGUAGUGGCUUACCAAGGCUUUGACGGGUAGCCGGCCUGAGAGGGUGACCGGCCACAUUGGGACUGAGAUACGGCCCAGACUCCUACGGGAGGCAGCAGUGGGGAAUAUUGCACAAUGGGCGGAAGCCUGAUGCAGCAACGCCGCGUGCGGGAUGACGGCCUUCGGGUUGUAAACCGCUUUCGCCUGUGACGAAGCGUGAGUGACGGUAAUGGGUAAAGAAGCACCGGCUAACUACGUGCCAGCAGCCGCGGUGAUACGUAGGGUGCGAGCGUUGUCCGGAUUUAUUGGGCGUAAAGGGCUCGUAGGUGGUUGAUCGCGUCGGAAGUGUAAUCUUGGGGCUUAACCCUGAGCGUGCUUUCGAUACGGGUUGACUUGAGGAAGGUAGGGGAGAAUGGAAUUCCUGGUGGAGCGGUGGAAUGCGCAGAUAUCAGGAGGAACACCAGUGGCGAAGGCGGUUCUCUGGGCCUUUCCUGGCGCUGAGGAGCGAAAGCGUGGGGAGCGAACAGGCUUAGAUACCCUGGUAGUCCACGCUGUAAACGGUGGGUACUAGGUGUGGGGUCCAUUCCACGGGUUCCGUGCCGUAGCUAACGCUUUAAGUACCCCGCCUGGGGAGUACGGCCGCAAGGCUAAAACUCAAAGGAAUUGACGGGGCCCCGCACAAGCGGCGGAGCAUGCGGAUUAAUUCGAUGCAACGCGUAGAACCUUACCUGGGUUUGACAUGGAUCGGGAGUGCUCAGAGAUGGGUGUGCCUCUUUUGGGGUCGGUUCACAGGUGGUGCAUGCCUGUCGUCAGCUCGUGUCGUGAGAUGUUGGGUUAAGUCCCGCAACGAGCGCAACCCUUGUUCACUGUUGCCAGCACGUUAUGGUGGGGACUCAGUGGAGACCGCCGGGGUCAACUCGGAGGAAGGUGGGGAUGACGUCAAGUCGUCAUGCCCCUUAUGUCCAGGGCUUCACGCAUGCUACAAUGGCUGGUACAGAGAGUGGCGAGCCUGUGAGGGUGAGCGAAUCUCGGAAAGCCGGUCUCAGUUCGGAUUGGGGUCUGCAACUCGACCUCAUGAAGUCGGAGUCGCUAGUAAUCGCAGAUCAGCAACGCUGCGGUGAAUACGUUCCCGGGGCU
rnacentral:rRNA from 1 species